AUACGGAGGGGGCUAGCGUUGUUCGGAAUUACUGGGCGUAAAGCGCGCGUAGGCGGUUCGUAUAGUCAGGCGUGAAAGCCCCGGGCUCAACCUGGGAAUUGCAUUCGAAACUGCAUGACUAGAGUCUGAUAGAGGGAAGUGGAAUUUCCGGUGUAGCGGUGAAAUGCGUAGAUAUCGGAAGGAACAUCAGUGGCGAAGGCGGCUUCCUGGAUUAAGACUGACACUAAGGUGCGAAAGCGUGGGGAGCAAACAGGAUUAGAAACCCGAGUAGUCC
rnacentral:rRNA from 1 species